rnacentral:rRNA from 1 species
UACGAAGGGGGCUAGCGUUGUUCGGAAUUACUGGGCGUAAAGAGCUCGUAGGUGGUUUGUCGCGUUGUUCGUGAAAACUCACAGCUCAACUGUGGGCGUGCGGGCGAUACGGGCAGACUAGAGUACUGCAGGGGAGACUGGAAUUCCUGGUGUAGCGGUGGAAUGCGCAGAUAUCAGGAGGAACACCGGUGGCGAAGGCGGGUCUCUGGGCAGUAACUGACGCUGAGGAGCGAAAGCGUGGGGAGCGAACAGG